UACGGAGGAUGCAAGCGUUAUCCGGAAUGAUUGGGCGUAAAGCGUCCGCAGGUGGCGAUGUAAGUCUGCUGUUAAAGAGUCUAGCUCAACUAGAUAAAAGCAGUGGAAACUACAUAGCUAGAGUGCGUUCGGGGCAGAGGGAAUUCCUGGUGUAGCGGUGAAAUGCGUAGAGAUCAGGAAGAACACCAGUGGCGAAGGCGCUCUGCUAGGCCGUAACUGACACUGAGGGACGAAAGCUAGGGGAGCGAAUGGGAUUAGAUACCCCAGUAGUCCUAGCCGUAAACGAUGGAUACUAGGCGUGGCUUGUAUCGACCCGAGCCGUGCCGUAGCUAACGCGUUAAGUAUCCCGCCUGGGGAGU
rnacentral:rRNA from 1 species